rnacentral:ncRNA from 2 species
UUUAGUAUGUUUUAUCACCUUCAUAUAUGUUUGGGGGGGAUAUGGUCCAAACGUUUCUACCUGAACACCGUAAAGGUUCGGACUAUGAAGGCGGAGAUCUUGCCA